CUCCACACGCUUGUUUCCUGGGUGUUUACCCGAGUGCACCUGGGAGAGAGGAGAGUGGAACAAAUGAGCGACACAGAGUGUGUGUGAGAAAGGCAGAGCAGACACGGCAAGAAAGGAAAAAAGAAGACAUAAAGAGAAGAGCAGAGCAGAGCAGAGUCGGCCUUCCAGCAUCACAUAAAGAACAUGUUUCCGCUGCAGAAGCCCUGCAGGCGCUGCAGUGUCUGCUCUAACAGCAGAGCAGAACAGUCCCCUGAGGCGUCGGAGGGGCCAAAACUGAGCCGACCAAACUUGGCUUCCGACCCCGGAGCAGCGACACGCCCACUUGGCGGCGGCCUGCAGUGCAUUCCUGAUAACAAAUAACACCACCUUCAUCCUGACCUCCACUUGUUACGGGAUACAGCCGAUACCCUAACCUCCUCAGCUUCAUGGGUCUCUUCACACUCCCCCUUCAAACUUUUUCGGUUUCAGAAAUGUACAACAUCCAAAAAUAAAGUGUGCAUCAUCAAUUAUG